rnacentral:rRNA from 1 species
GACGAACGCUGGCGGCGUGCUUAACACAUGCAAGUCGAACGAUGAAGCUGGAGCUUGCUCUAGCGGAUUAGUGGCGAACGGGUGAGUAACACGUGAGCAAUCUGCCCUUGACUCUGGGAUAACUGCUGGACACUGUAGCUAAUACCGGAUACGAGCCUUAGAGGCCUCUCUGAGUCUGGAAAGAAUUUCGGUCAAGGAUGAGCUCGCGGACUAUCAGCUAGUUGGUGAGGUAAUGGCUCACCAAGGCGACGACGGGUAGCCGGCCUGAGAGGGUGACCGGCCACACUGGGACUGAGACACGGCCCAGACUCCUACGGGAGGCAGCAGUGGGGAAUAUUGCACAAUGGGCGAAAGCCUGAUGCAGCAACGCCGCGUGAGGGAUGAAGGCCUUCGGGUUGUAAACCUCUUUUAGCAGGGAAGAAGCGAAAGUGACGGUACCUGCAGAAAAAGCACCGGCUAACUACGUGCCAGCCGCCGCAGUAA